GCAGGAGGAGGAAGAGGAGGAGGAGGAGGGAAUUCCCUUUUCACCUGGGUCUAGAGGUGGGGUGUGGCCAGCUGGAGAUCUGCUCGCCCCCAACCCCCUGCCCUUCUCUGCCCCCACCACAGGUCCUUCCUCCUCACUCCGUUCCCCCCCCCACCUGAGAGAUCCCAGAAAUUCCUGCACUUUCCUGCGUGGCUGUGUAUGAGGGCUGUUCCUCCCUGGGGUUUCCUACCUGCCUUGUCUGGAGGUCUGGGGCUUGGGGGACCGUGCGGUGGAGGCCAGCAGGGAGAAGCCUUUGGGGACACUCCUUCCAUCCUCUCCUCAGG